rnacentral:rRNA from 1 species
UACGUAGGUGGCGAGCGUUGUCCGGAUUUACUGGGCGUAAAGAGCGCGCAGGCGGUCGUACAAGUCGCGUGUGAAAGCCCCCGGCUCAACUGGGGAGGGUCACGCGAUACUGUUCGACUCGAAGGCAGGAGAGGGAAGUGGAAUUCCCGGUGUAGUGGUGAAAUGCGUAGAUAUCGAGAGGAACACCUGCGGCGAAGGCGGGUUGCUGGGCCGACACUGACGCUGAUGCGCGAAAACCAGGGGAGCGAACGGG